AGGGAAGGUGUGAGCUGCCGCCGAGGGUCCCAGGCGGAACGCGGGAAGGGAGCAGGUUUAUUUAACAAUGUGAAGUAGUCCUGGGAAGUUGUACUUUGAGCAAGGUCCGCAAGCAGUAUUCCUGCACUUCUCCAGUCAUGCCCCAGCGCCAGGUCGGAAGCUGUCCACAUGCGGGGAUGGAGCCUGGCGUCCUGGGCCCACAAGGACAGGGCCCUGAAUAUGGACUUAGCAGAACAAAGUUGGGAAGGCAACUGCACUCACCCCUUGUGCCUCCUGUGGUACCUGCCCUUCACGGUUCCUGGUGGGGACACUCAGGCACCAGCUUCAUGGCUGGACUCAGAUGACACAACGCCAGGAAAAAAAGUAAAAGCCCCAUUACCCUUUCCAAUGCCUAGAUAAAAUAGAUGUCUAAUAAAAACCUGCUAAUAAUCA
ensembl:lncRNA novel transcript